rnacentral:rRNA from 1 species
UACGUAGGGUGCAAGCGUUAAUCGGAAUUACUGGGCGUAAAGCGUGCGCAGGCGGUUGGGCAAGACAGAUGUGAAAUCCCCGGGCUUAACCUGGGAAUGGCAUUUGUGACUGCCCGGCUAGAGUGUGUCAGAGGGGAGUAGAAUUCCACGUGUAGCAGUGAAAUGCGUAGAGAUGUGGAGGAAUACCGAUGGCGAAGGCAGCCCCCUGGGAUAACACUGACGCUCAUGCACGAAAGCGUGGGGAGCAAACAGG